rnacentral:rRNA from 1 species
AUGUGGCUGAAGAAGAGUUUGGAGGUCAAUUUGGUCGGUGGUCGCAACCUCUUGAGCUUGCCAAGGCCCCUGCUCCCAAUGACCAGGCAGCUGAUGGGCAUGUCAUGGAUGGCUUGGCACAGCUUCUCGCGGGGAUCUCCAAACAGGACUUUGGAAACCACAGCAACCUGCCGAAAAAUGAAAACUCGGAAUCUUGUUAAGCAAAUGUGUCAAGGAGAUCACGAUGGUGAUACAUUAUGGUGUGGAGUGGUCACCUCCUUCUGCUUAGCUAUGGUGUUGAGCAUGUCAAGUGUUUCAGCAUCAGGCUUCACCCCAUAUUUCUUUGCAGUUGAAGGGUGA